AGUGAACGCUGGCGGUAGGCUUAACACAUGCAAGUCGAACGGCAGCACAGUAAGAGUUUGCUCUUACGGGUGGCGAGUGGCGGACGGGUGAGGAAUACAUCGGAACCUACUUUUUCGUGGGGGAUAACGUAGGGAAGCUUACGCUAAUAUCGCAUAUGACCCACGGGUGAAAGCAGUGGAUCUUCUGACCUUGCGCGAUUGAAUGAGCCGAUGUUGGAUUAGCUAGUUGGCGGGGUAAAGGCCCACCAAGGCGACGAUCGGUAGCUGGUCUGAGAGGAUGAUCGGCCACACUGGAACUGGAACACGGUCCAGACUCCUACGGGAGGCAGCAGUGGGGAAUAUUGGACAGUGGGCGCAAGCCUGAUCCAGCCAUACCGCGUGGGUGAAGAAGGCCUUCGGGUUGUAAAGCCCUUUUGUUGGGAAAGAAAAGCAGCAGGUUAAUACCCCGCUGUUCUGACGGUACCCAAAGAAUAAGCACCGGCUAACUUCGUG
rnacentral:rRNA from 1 species